AAAUAAUCAAAUAAUGUGAUAACUGAAGUACAAGAAAUAACAAGUAGCAUCAAAAAUCAUAGGACAGACAACUACGAGAAAGAUGCUACUACAACUGGUAUGAAGGGGAAAUUGGUAGAGUGCACCAAACUACCACCACACCUAUUCUUGGGAAAGCGAGACAACGCUCAACUACCUAUUAACCAUUAACCAUCUACACCAAUUUGCGACCUUCAUAACCUCCUAUCUAAGGUAUUGUCAUUGGUAUGUUAAAGAUGCAAUAUAUACAACAACGAUAUACCCAAUGUAAUCCAACAAGUGCAGUAAGGAUAUACGCGACCUUGCCCCUAUCUUCAAG
rnacentral:misc_RNA from 1 species